rnacentral:lncRNA from 1 species
GGAAAGUCCAGCAACGACAGGGGCACAGCCCAACUCAACUCUGAGCUAGGAUUGUCUGCUGAACCAAAGCGAGGAUUUGGAAAUACAUCUGGAUUUGAACUUCAUAGGAGCCAUUGUGUGACCGACCCCAAAUACUGUCAUUGUUAGAGGAAGUAAGAGGUGGUCUUCCCUGAUGCCCUUGGAUCUUGGCGGAAAACCUCGGCCCAAUCUAUGGGUGCUCAAUGUCACAGAUGGCAGGGUGUGUCCGGAGGCUGAGGACGGAACAGCAGCCAUGAUGACAGUCACUGUUGGCAGAGAGAGAAUGGCCUGGUGGGCUUUGUUCCCCAUUCUGAGGGCUCCAACUUCCUGUGUGGGAAGCAUCUGGAAUGAAGAUGGAUGAGGGUGGAAGAGAUGAGCCAACAGUGGAGUGCUGCCAGAUGUGAAGAGCAGGGAGGUCCUGCAGAUGUUUCCCUCGGAGACCUCAGGAGUCCGCUCUGAAUGCAGGUGAGCAGAGGUGCACAGGGCAGGGUGAUGGUUGCUCUGAGGAUGAGUGUGGCAGUGAGGAGUGCGCGUGUGGAUUUGGCAUGCUAAUAAACCAUGUGUAGUAUGUAUGCACUGAGUUUCACACGUGGUUGUGGGGGUGUUGGUGUGUGCAUGUAUGGAGCAGGAUAAUUAGUGUGCAGGAGAGAAAAUAAAAAUAAACGUUAUUGGGCUCAGUCUUUAUGUUCAUUGGGUGGAUAGGGAGAUAGAUGGAUGGAGGAAGGGAUCGGCAGGAGGUGGAUGGGUAGAUGAAUGGUUAGGGAGAUGAAGGAGAAUACAGUAGAGCAAAACUACUGUAUGACGCCUUGUGAGCUCCAGGUAGUAAGCAUGUAGAUACUUUUUCUUUCUUUUUGUUCUGUUUAUCAUAGCUGUUGGGUUUUCUAGAUAAAAUCUCACUGUGUUGUCUAUCCCAGCCUGGAACUUGUUACGUAGCCAAAGCAAGCCUUGAACUCUUGGCCUUUCUGCCUCCAUCUACCAAGUGCUGACUAUGUACCACCAUGCCC